rnacentral:rRNA from 1 species
GAUGAACGCUGGCGGCGUGCCUAAUACAUGCAAGUCGAGCGAACAGACGAGGAGCUUGCUCCUCUGACGUUAGCGGCGGACGGGUGAGUAACACGUGGAUAACCUACCUAUAAGACUGGGAUAACUUCGGGAAGCCGGAGCUAAUACCGGAUAAUAUAUUGAACCGCAUGGUUCAAUAGUGAAAGACGGUUUUGCUGUCACUUAUAGAUGGAUCCGCGCCGCAUUAGCUAGUUGGUAAGGUAACGGCUUACCAAGGCAACGAUGCGUAGCCGACCUGAGAGGGUGAUCGGCCACACUGGAACUGAGACACGGUCCAGACUCCUACGGGAGGCAGCAGGAGGGAAUCUUCAGCAAUGGGCGAAAGCCUGACGGGGCAACGCCGCGUGAGUGAUGAAGGUCUUCGGAUCGUAAAACUCUGUUAUUAGGGAAGAACAAAUGUGUAAGUAACUAUGCACGUCUUGGCGGUACCUAAUCAGAAAGCCACGGCUAACUACGU